rnacentral:lncRNA from 1 species
CCCAGGAGGAGGAGCCGACCGGAGAGAGAUGGAGCUUCUGGCCAGACUUCGGAACAAGAAGGACACAACAACCUUGUAAGGUCUUGUAGAGGCGAUAACUGGCAGCCUCUGCCACUGGCGGAUAGCUGAUAUAAGCUAGCAGAUAAGGUUAGGGCAGGAGAUUCUUUGCCCACCGAUUGUGUUCUCUGGCCAGUUUUAAGAUAAUAAAACAGUCUAUGUUUUUCUUCCUUGGAGAAAAGCUGGACAGAGAAAGAGGGAAGCCACCUGACAGCUUGGUGAAGCUAAGCUUCGAGGGGCUAGCGGGAAUGAUCACGAUGCCGAGGAAGGCACUAAGCCAGGAGCGCUGGCAGAGCCCUCGGGAAGGCAAUAGCGUGUUUUAUAAAAUUACACGCAACACAACUUAUAUGCGAAAAUAAAACACAACGAGCUCAUAAGCAGGUGCAGGGAGGACUGCAGGGUGGCAUGCCUUUCUCCAAGGUUUUUUUUUUGUUUUGUUUUGUUUUUUUUAAACUCAUUUAGACACAACAGUUCAGGCUGACCUCUGUUUUGAUGGAUCCUGAGUGAAGGCUACAGUUGGGGAACAACAACAACAACUACUACUACUACUUACUACUUCUACUACUUCUACUACUACUACUACUACUACUACUACUACUACUAGCAGCAGCAACUACUACUACUUACUACUUCUACUACUACUACUAGCAGCAGCAACUACUACUACUUACUACUUCUACUACUACUACUAGCAGCAACUACUACUACUUACUACUACUACUACUACUACUAGCAGCAGCAGCAGCAGCAGGCUGGCUAGAGAGAUGGCUCAGCGGUUAAGAGCACUUAGCUGCUCUUCCAGAGGUUCCGAGUUCAACCUACUUGGUGGCUCACAACCAUCUGUAAUGGCAUCUGAUGCCCUCUUCUGGUGUGUCUGAAGAGAGCAACAAUGUACUCAUAUACAUUAAAUAAAUAAAUCUUUUAAUAAUAAUAA